CCAUAAUCAUCUAUUAGUACAGUGGUGAAGACAUAGGGCUACUACACCAUCCAUAAGGGUUCGAAUCUUCGAUGUGCCUAGAUAGGGUACAGUUGGAUCCCAUAUGGAUGGAGGUGUAACCCGAUGCCUUUUACAAAUAGAUGGUUAUUUU
rnacentral:ncRNA from 2 species